rnacentral:rRNA from 1 species
GUGGGGAAUUUUGCGCAAUGGGCGAAAGCCUGACGCAGCAACGCCGCGUGGGUGACGAAGUCCCUUGGGACGUAAAACCCUGUCGGCUGGGACGAAACUUCCCGCAAGGGAAACUGACUGUACCAGCAAAGGAAGCCCCGGCUAACUCCGUGCCAGCAGCCGCGGUAAUACGGGGGGGGCAAGCGUUGUUCGGAAUUACUGGGCGUAAAGGGCGUGUAGGCGGCUUGGUAAGUCAGUUGUGAAAGCCCCAGGCUCAACUUGGGAAUUGCAACUGAAACUGCCUGGCUAGAGUUCAGGAGAGGAGAGCGGAACUCCCAGUGUAGCGGUGAAAUGCGUAGAUAUUGGGAGGAACACCGGUGGCGAAGGCGGCUCUCUGGACUGAAACUGACGCUGAGGCGCGAAAGCUAGGGGAGCAAACGGGAUUAGAUACCCCGGUAGUCC